rnacentral:rRNA from 1 species
GACGAACGCUGGCGGCGUGCCUAACACAUGCAAGUCGAGCGAAUGAAGCUCCUUCGGGAACGGAUUUAGCGGCGGACGGGUGAGUAACACGUGGGCAACCUGCCUCAUAGAGGGGAAUAGCCUUCCGAAAGGAAGAUUAAUACCGCAUAAGAUUGUAGCUUCGCAUGAAGCAGCAAUUAAAGGAGCAAUCCGCUAUGAGAUGGGCCCGCGGCGCAUUAGCUAGUUGGUGAGGUAACGGCUCACCAAGGCGACGAUGCGUAGCCGACCUGGGAGGGUGAUCGGCCACAUUGGGACUGAGACACGGCCCAGACUCCUACGGGAGGCAGCAGUGGGGAAUAUUGCACAAUGGGGGAAACCCUGAUGCAGCAACGCCGCGUGAGUGAUGACGGUCUUCGGAUUGUAAAGCUCUGUCUUCAGGGACGAUAAUGACGGUACCUGAGGAGGAAGCCACGGCUAACUACGUGCCAGCAGCCGCAGUAAGAC